UGGCCUACGGGAGGCAGCAGUGGGGAAUAUUGCACAAUGGGGGAAACCCUGAUGCAGCAACGCCGCGUGAGUGAGGAAGUAUUUCGGUAUGUAAAGCUCUAUCAGCAGGGAAUAGAAAAGAAGGUACCUGAAAAAGAAGCCCCGGCUAACUACGUGCCAGCAGCCGCGGUAAUACGGAGGAUGCGAGCGUUAUCCGGAUUUAUUGGGUUUAAAGGGUGCGUAGGCGGACUGUUAAGUCAGCGGUAAAAGCCCGGGGCUCAACCCCGGCGAGCCGUUGAAACUGGCUGUCUUGAGAUGUCGAGAGG
rnacentral:rRNA from 1 species